GUGGAGAAUCAGAUUCCUUACCCAGAGUUGCUUGAGAUCCUAUAAUACCAGGCAGUUAGUUCAUCCUCCAUAGAUUUCUGAUUAUAUUGCAUUGGUUUCCAUGCAACACUGCACAAUGCUUCCUCCUUGCUUUAGCACAUAAAGGACCCUGUGGCUAAAAUAGCCUAUGAACUCAGCAACAGUGUCAAGUGUCCAUGUCUAGACACAGCAUUUAUAAGCUUUUUCCCACAACAAUCAAGCAGCUGCUGCAGGGAUAGGAAGCUGUUACUAAGGCAAUUUUGUCAUUGCUAGCUCUCUCAUACAGCAAUCCUGUUAUCUCAUUAGAGAAUUACUUCUCCACAGGUCAGGGCAAUACAGCAACCCAGGCUGAAAAAUCACUUGGUAGGUCUGAUGUAUUACAGAGGAUGGUGGGUAGGACUUUGGAAGUGCAUGUUUGGUGUUUUACAUCUGAUCUUUUAUUUUUUGCUGAAGCUGACAGAUGAGAAUACAGUGGGGGGAGUAGGGAAUUGAGAUUGGGGUUACUCGGUAUCCUGGGAAAUGGUAACAAAGGGCAAUACAGUAAUCAUAUUUACCUAUUCUACAGGAAGGAAAGGGCUUCAUAGGAUAUCACAGAGUUUGCUGCUGAGUGUGAGAUGUAUAUCAAGCCAUGGAGGCUUUGAAUCUUCCUAGGAUGCUCAGAGGAUAUUUUGGAGGAAGGCAAUGCCAACAUGGUCAAGUGACAUCAUAUAGCCUUUCCAGUUCUGAAUGUUUCAAAACAGGCUUCCAACAUGAACAGUUUUGGUCAUCUCCGCCUGGCAAGAUACAGACUGAAAAGGUCCAGGCACAGGCAAUGAAAAAAGAAGGUCUGCAUACAAGUGUGCAUGAGAGAGAGUGAGACAGAGAAAGAGACAAAGAGAGGGGAGGAGAGAAGCUGUGGCCUUCCAGGCAGUAAACUCAAAGGGAUAUACUUCUUGCAGCAAAGAGAUCAGGGGCUGGGGUGAUGUGGGUGCUAAGGCAUACAGCUGAGUCUAGGGGUCACAAGUUUGAGGCCAUACUAGAAGUACUCACGGGGUAGCGAUGUCAGAUUCCAACAAGUCUGCAAAUUAUGUUAAAUACCUUGUUACACAAUGACAUGAAAAAAGAAAGCAAACAAAGAGACAAAUCUUUAAGAUUCAUUGCUGCCCAAGGUCAGACAGACAAGCUGUGGGGCUGGAUUUUUAAAAACAGUGGAUGAUUAUGACAACCAGCAUUUAUAGUUAUUACCAAUAAAAAUCAUUGCCUACCAAGAGGUACCGUAUCAUAGCAUCUAAUAUCCCACAAGUAUUUCUUGUUCUGUGUGUAGGGAUAUACUGCAGGGUCUUUGACACAGUGUUAAACAUUGACUCUUUAGCAGUCAUAAGUGACAGAUACUGAUACACAAACUGGAGCAAUGAUAAGGGAGAAAGUAAAUCCUAUGCUUUUAAGAAUAAUUUACUGAAAGCUGGGAAGGAGACUUAUUGCCUCUAUGAAUAUAAACAUUGUACAUAGUAGCUGGAUAAAUUAUGAAGGCAUAUAUUGGCUAUUACUGGAAGCAGGAUAUUUGUCCAUCUACAGCAGUAAUGUGAUUGAGCAUUACAAUACUUUUGUAAGGGACUAGGACACUUUUAUUGAUUCAGGCCUCAAAACCUAAUUUUCUUUAGAAGAGCACUUGUUUCCCUUCCCUGCUUUGAAGGUAGAUUGUUACAGUCCAGUCUUCUCAGCUGUAAGGCUUUGGUUAAUCUUCAUAUGCUGUAUGGAGGCUGGAAAGUUCCUCUAGGGCAGCAGAAUUCACAGGUAAAACAUGCAGUGUUACAAAAACUCAGAUGUGUUAUUGGAACUGUAACUGAGUGAAAAUUCCUUUUUAAAAACUGCUUUUCCCUACCUCAUCCUUUAUGGAGGAUUAGAUUUAUGCUGGACUAGCUGUGUUCAUGAGUUUCUCCUCUAGAUGGAAGCAUAAUGCUACUCUUAGUAGAAAAGUUUUGUUCUUGCGCUGAAAGAUAUUAAACCUGCAAAGCAACCAAAUCAAAAUACCUUGGAUCAUUGUCACACAAUAAAAACGUAGGGACAAGACAAUCUGGCAUCAUUGCAAGUCCUGACUGCAACAAAAUAUUAUGCAGUAUUAACUUGGGUUAUGUCAUUAAUUAAGACUGGACAAAGCAGGCUGAUUGCAUUAGUGGUAGCAUCCUAUUUGUUCCUUGAAACAAAGGAUUGAUACUAAGUCUGAUUUUUCUGGCAUUGGAAGGGGUGGGCUGCAAGAACCUAGCCACAGUAAAUUGCCCCAUUACAGCUGUAUAGUAUGGUUUCAAAUGCAGCAAUGAUUCCAGUGUAUUUGCUAUGACUAUUAAUUAUUUUUGGUUUCCUCUUCUAUUCCAUGCCCUGAUUCUGCAGCAGUACUGAUGUAACAAAAGACCCUUUGUAACAGCAGCAAAAAAAAUGCUGCGGCUGGUUUCAUAUUGUUCAGGGGACACUGACAGAGAAAGCUCAAAGCUAUGUAAUUUUUUAUGUGUAUUGAUAUAAUGCUUACAAACCUGAAAUAUUGCUACCACUUGGUGUUUAAAGCAGGCAUGCCACAAAUUAGCCCUACACUGUCCCUCAGUGCCACUUCAAUCCCUUUGCUCUGCCCAGUCUGCUGCUUUGCUUCUUUUCCUGCCCUGUGCUCCCUGCCCAAUCUGCUGUUGUUUCCUGUUCUCAGCCUUAUCUGCCACUGUGCUGCCUGUCCCCUCUCUGAUCUGCUAUGUGACACGCACAUAAGCUGCUUAUGCCAUGUAUGGCAUGUACCACAGGUUGGCCAUCCCUAGUUUAAAGUGCCCCUAUGCAGUUCUCUUGAUGCAACUAAAACAGUUUCAUCCCAAGAGAACAGAAACUGCUGAGUGCAUAUUUUUAGGGUGUUAGAUCAGUCUAUCUCAUUCCAGUCAAGAGGAGAGAGAGAUCUAGUUCCCAGGGAUCCAAGUAGGAUUUGAAUUCAGGCCUUGAGAGAAGAAGGACCAGCUUUGUGAUAUCAUGUCUCAAUUUUUAAACCACUCAGAUGGCAACAGGUUAUAAGUGAACUUCAUGGCUAGGUACAGACGGUCAAAAAGUCCGGAGGCUGAAUCGAUUUAGUCUUUGCAGGGUGGUCUAAACUGCACAGAUUAAAUUGAAGCAGAAGUGAACAGACAUUUAUUUACCAAUGAUUCAGGAAAUGCAGCUGCCUGCCUGCAGUGACUCAAGUGAGAAGCUGGGGGUGGUAGAGCACAGCUCUCUAGCUGUGUGUUCACUUCCUCUUCCUGCUGCCACUGAGACCUCUGGGAUUUGCAGUCCAAAAUCACAAUACCAGGAUUCUGCAGCAUUGCUCAUCACUUCCUCUUCCUGUUUUCAGGGGCCUCUGGGAUUUGUAGUCCACAGUUGCAGCCAGCAGUAAGUUUGAGCAGGGGAAGGGGUGUUUAACCCCCCCUUCCCUGGCCCCAGACUCCAGCCGGGGUUUGCCCGGGAAGUCAGUUCCCACCCCCCCCAGACUGGGCUCCAUCCCCAGCCA